rnacentral:rRNA from 1 species
UAUGUAACACAUGUUAGAUGCUUGAAAGAUGCAAUUGCAUCGCUAGUAGAUGGACCUGCGUUGUAUUAGCUAGUAGGUAGGGUAAUGGCCUACCUAGGCAACGAUACAUAGCCGACCUGAGAGGGUGAUCGGCCACACUGGGACUGAGACACGGCCCAGACUCCUACGGGAGGCAGCAGUAGGGAAUCUUCGGCAAUGGGGGGAACCCUGACCGAGCAACGCCGCGUGAGUGAAGAAGGUUUUCGGAUCGUAAAGCUCUGUUGUUAAGGAAGAACGAGUGUGAGAAUGGAAAGUUCAUACUGUGACGGUACUUAACCAGAAAGGGACGGCUAACUACGUGCCAGCAGCCGCGGUAAUACGUAGGUCCCGAGCGUUGUCCGGAUUUAUUGGGCGUAAAGCGAGCGCAGGCGGUUAGAAAAGUCUGAAGUGAAAGGCAGUGGCUCAACCAUUGUAGGCUUUGGAAACUGUUUAACUUGAGUGCAGAAGGGGAGAGUGGAAUUNCAUGUGUAGCGGUGAAAUGCGUAGAUAUAUGGAGGAACACCGGUGGCGAAAGCGGCUCUCUGGUCUGUAACUGACGCUGAGGCUCGAAAGCGUGGGGAGCGAACAGGAUUAGAUACCCUGGUAGUCCACGCCGUAAACGAUGAGUGCUAGGUGUUAGNUCCUUUCCGGGACUUAGUGCCGCAGCUAACGCAUUAAGCACUCCGCCUGGGGAGUACGACCGCAAGGUUGAAACUCAAAGGAAUUGACGGGGGCCCGCACAAGCGGUGGAGCAUGUGGUUUAAUUCGAAGCAACGCGAAGAACCUUACCAGGUCUUGACAUCCCAGUGACCACCCUAGAGAUAGGGUUUCCCUUCGGGGCACUGGUGACAGGUGGUGCAUGGUUGUCGUCAGCUCGUGUCGUGAGAUGUUGGGUUAAGUCCCGCAACGAGCGCAACCCUUAUUGUUAGUUGCCAUCAUUGAGUUGGGCACUCUAGCGAGACUGCCGGUAAUAAACCGGAGGAAGGUGGGGAUGACGUCAAAUCAUCAUGCCCCUUAUGACCUGGGCUACACACGUGCUACAAUGGCUGGUACAACGAGUCGCAAGCCGGUGACGGCAAGCUAAUCUCUGAAAGCCAGUCUCAGUUCGGAUUGUAGGCUGCAACUCGCCUACAUGAAGUCGGAAUCGCUAGUAAUCGCGGAUCAGCACGCCG